AACUGUCAAAAACGUCUUGGGGAGUAUUGAUCAUUUUCAGGAAACUAUACCAACACUUUUCUGGGGCUUUCCCUCCAGCCUAACAUUCCUCAGGCAGGACGUGGCACUUCAGAGAGAGCCCACUCUGUGCCGGCUUCUUUGAGAAACCAGCAGGAUGGCCUGCAAGAAACUGGGCCACCUCCAGCAGGUGGACAGGGAUGUGAAUGGCUCCUAGUGAGCCAUUGACUUUCUGAAUUUAGAGAAAGUUGUGGUGAAGAAAAGCUUAUAUUUCCAUCUUAGGCGAUUCCUCCAGCCCAAAGGAGCCUUUACUAAGUUCUCAGCUACAUCUUAUAGGACUCCCUCCUGGCAUGAUUUUGAAGCCCAAACAUCAGGCAGUAUCUUUGAGUGGACUUGAUUAUAAAGAUAAACUUGUUGGUAAAAUAAGUUUUGAAUACUGUGGGACCCAAGCUGCUGUGGCAUGCUAUUCUGGAUGUCCUUGGCCUAGCCCAGCCAUUAAGUUGGGGGUCGGCAGACUUUCUGUAAAGGGCCAAAUAGUCACUAUUUUAGGCUUUGUGGACUGUUGCAGUGUGAGAGGAGCCGCAGACAGACACGUGAGUGGGGCCGUGUGCCGAUAAAACUUUAAGGACGCUGGAAUUUGAAUGUCACAGAAUUUUCACGUCACAAAAUAGUAUCCUUCCUUUGAUGAUUUUCCAAUCAUUUAAAAAUGUAAAAACCCCAUUUAGUUCAUGAGCCGUUCGAGAGCAGGUAGAAGGCUGGGUUUGGCCCGUGGUCCGCAGCUUGCUGACCCCUGCUUACGUGAAACUCAGCUCCGCCAACCCAUGCAGCGCAUCCUCGCCGCACAGGGAAUCUGGGCUGGGUAAUGGAGAACGUUGUGCUAAGUUAGCUCUCGGGGUGGUUUCAUGCAAUUAAGGAAAUUGUUCCUUUGAUUAGUACCAUGUGUAGCAGGUCCAAUUGGAGGGCAGAAGUGGAGGAAUGAAUCAGUUUAGCACCAGUUCCCUUACCCUAGUUACAGUCAGGUAGCUUUAAUUAGCCAGAAGCAAAAAGAGCAGUGGCUCUCACUUGCCACCUCUGCGUGCUUGCAACCUCUUCCCAGCGGGGGUCUCGUCCCCAGCCCACCUGCAGUGGUGCUGGCCCCUCCCUCUCAUAGGGCGGGACUGCUCAUGGCAAAACAGGGCUCUCCGGAGGGCUCUCCGGAAGCUGUGUGGCAUGUCUGCCCCACCCCACCCCUGUUGCUGUAUGUAGCAAUACGUUUUGUUGAAUCAUACGUUUACAGUUAUAGAGAGAAUGUCUCUGUUCCUCCUCUCCAAUACAGUUGUUUGCAAGAAAUGAACAUUCCAGCUCUCUACUGUUUAAUUUUUGGGCAGUGUGAUAUUUGGUGCGAGGUGAAAAGGACGGGAUAUUCAUCCUAUCUGGCUCUUCCUUGGUCUUAUUUACAUCAUCACUGAAACACAAGGGUAGGCUGUUGAUCAGACGGUAGGACAUGUUUGUAGAUUGGUCUCUGUUGUCUUAGUCAUAGAGUUCUUCCCUCGGCAUGUGUUCCAAAAGCAUUUAUUGGGUACCUUGAAUGUGUUAGUUGCUGGAGAUGAAGGAAUAAGGAAUGAAGGAAUGAGACACAAGUCCAGGUUCUUAAGUUUACAGUGAGCUGAAGGAGCCAGCAGACCACCCAGAAAAUUAAGAGUAUGGUGAGACUACGUUGGAGAGGACCAGCACAGUCUCAGGGGAUCAGGGAAGAUUUGCCAGUGGAGACAGUGUGUACUCUAGGAUUUUCAAAAGGUCGAGGGGCUAGCCAGGCCCCGAAGGCAAGAGAAGGCGGUCCAAGCAAACUGCUAGUGCAGGCAUGCAAGGGGCAAGAGAUGGCACAUUUGGGCAAUGGCACAUUGUUCCAGGGUACAUGGUGCUGGUGCAGAGGGGGGAGAGUAGCUAGGAGAGGAGGCAGAGGCUAGGCCUUGAAGACUGCAGGAGUGAGCUGGGGGAGCCAUGGAAGAUUUUAACCAUGGAAGUGAUGUGAUCAGGACUAUGUUUUGGAAAGAGCUGAUGGCUGUGGGAUGGAGAGUAGACCAGAAAAGAACAAAACAGAGAAAGCUCAUAAUCCAUCAGAGAAAUGACAAGGGCCUGACCUGAGAGAGAGGCCUAGGGGCAAGAGAAAAUCACAGAUCCAAGAGAGGAAGGAACAUGGAGGCUUGACAAAUGGACGAUCUUGAUUAGAUGUGAGGGAGAAUGGAGGAAUCGGGUCUCUGGUUUGGGCACGUAGGUUAUACAGUACAGUAGGUUGUAUUGACCCGGGCACACCUGGAUGGAAGAGUUGAAAAGCAAGAUAAUUACUUCUGUUUAGGAUCUGUUGACCUAGGGUCUGUUGAAGGGUCCACUGGAGAGGGACAGGUAGAAAUGUAAAGUGAGCAUGUGGGCGUAGGGGUUCAGGGGUCAGCCGGGAAGGUUGGCCUAGAGGUAACCAUUUGCUAGCCAGGAGCAUCUAAACGGUCCGUAAGCUGUUUAGGAAUGAGCUCUAGUGCGGAGGACUCUGGAAUGAGGAGCCAUGCAGCACUAGACAGGCAGGAGGGUGAGAAACACUUCCUUGUGCCCAGUUCUUAGGUAGUCUUCUCUGAUCCCCUCUUUUCCCUAGAAAAGGAGGCUUUAUAGCAGAUUACAAAAGCAUAAGUAAAUUCCUUUGUCUAUAAAAAAGUAAGUAUAUUCUCAUGUUAUAAAAUUUAGAAAAUAUAACAGUGUGAAGAAAUCAAAACUACCUAUAAAUCUAUCACCCAGAAAGAGCCACUGCUAAUAUUUUGUCAUAUUAUAGUUCCUUAUGAAUAUCCUCCUUAACACUUCAUGGCAAGAGGGAGGAGUGGUUAGCAUAACAUACAUAUAAUUUUUAUGUCAUGCUUUUUAAUAUUAUAGAAUGAGUUUUUCUCAUGCAAUUCAAAAUUCUUCUAAACCAUUUUAGUGCCUAUGUAAUAUUUCAACAUAUUAAAUGCUCUGGAACACUUAACCAUGCCUCAACUGUGGAUAUUUAGAUUACAGUUUUACUAUACAAUAAAUAAUAAUGCCAUGAGCUA